CCGGCACUCCAUGCUGACGAAUUAUCUGAUGCACACACACUUCAGUAUACCCACUCUGAUAAGAUAGAAUCUUCAAUUUCUGAAAUCGAACUUAGAUUGGCGGUUAAUUUCAUUCCGACACGCUUUUAGUGUGACCUAGGCUACUGGGUAGUGUUCAGAGCUUUUUAGGACAAAUGACCCGUGGUCGAUUUUCUUCGAGCCACAAUAAAC
rnacentral:lncRNA from 1 species